ensembl:lncRNA
CUAAGAUAGCGCAUGGCCAAAGGAUGAGAACGCAUUGUCUUCCCUCCUUCUCGAUGAGGGCUCCAAGUCCACUCUGAGCUCCAGCGGACCACAGAGCCUGGUCAGUAAGUCUGCCCCUGGCAUCUCUGGAUGACUUCUAGCUUGAGGGGCUCCGUGGUCUCAGCGGGGCCUCUCUCCCCGGAUUUAUUUCUAUUUAUUUCCCAAGAUUUCUUGAUUAUUUGAGAGACAGCAUGAGGAAAUCAGCAUACCCAGAUAUAAAAACCUUGCUGAGAGAAUCUCUAAUCUUGACACACCUCCAUAAACCACCCCACCUUCAUCUUUAAAAGAAGAGUCUGUUCUACAGAAUAUUGUAUGAAAAGAAAUA